GUGGCACCAUUCAAGUUAAAGCAGCGCAGGCAAGUUUAUAACAUCAGGAAGAGAAACUGCUGCCUGAUCUCUGAGCUACCCAAGUCUUGUGCUCAGGAAGCUGAAAGGAACUACAAAAAUCCCUGCAAAGUGGUCCCUGCUGGCAAAAAGAACCCUCAAGACAAAACCCAAGGUUUAUUACGGAGUAUGAAAAUCAGGAAGCUUUUUGUUCACUUCAUACAUCUCUUCCGACAAAGCCAGGCAUCAGAACCCGGCACAGACUCCAGAGUGAUUAUUGUUACACAUGAUCUAUGGAGCAGAUAAAUUACAGCUUGAUUUUUAUAAGUUCUAGAUCGUAAAUGCGAGAAAAUGAAAAGAUGACAGAGCACAGCUUGACAUAAUUUCCUAUAAGAAGUGUGGGACCUAAGAUGACACAAAUGAGCCAGGCGAUCGCUCCCCGCUCCUGUAGGUAGCAAUGCAUUCGCACACCAUUCACAUUCAGCGAUGUUAAAGUGAGAUUGGCAGGGUAAGUAACCCCUGAUGGAGGCUUUCCAUUUCGGGCAGCCUUGCUAAGCCAUGCCUGAUGCUUCCAAUGAGCUCCGUAGCACAGAGAUGGCUUUUUCCCUGCUUUUGCUUCUGUGCUGGUUUUAUCAGAGCAGCUCCGCAGAUGUCAGUGAGGCACAUUUUGUUUUCAGUUACAUCAGUGUAAAUCACAGCUGAUCUAGUGAACUCAGAGAUACCCACUUUACAGCGAUAUCUUUGACAUUAAGAGUUUGGUGCCAUGGUAUUAUGACAGUUUAAAGCCCCUCCAUGAAGAAACAAAGUCAAGAUCAGCACUGUCCUGGAACACAUUACAAAGCGUGUUUGUUAUUGUAGAGAAGACAGCAUUUGCCUUGGCUGUGAAAAAGAAAACCAGAUCUCAGAUCUAUAACAGCGAAGAUUUCAUCUCCGCAAUUUAUCCAAUGAGAUUUCCACUCCUCUUGCACAGAUACCCUGCUGCUAACAUAGCAGUCAAGAUCAGAGCACUUAAUCAAUCAUUCACUGAGGACAAAUAUGCGUAAUCUAAAUUAGGCAUAUUUUAUAUGACAGCC
ensembl:lncRNA